AGGAGCCUGGGCGAGGGCGGCGAUCGCAGAAAAGCCGGGGUUUACUCUAGCCCCUUUAGAUGGGUCUCAAGAUGGCGCCACAUCUUGUCCAAGAAAAAUGACAGACAUCUCUUCCCCCAGUGACUCUGAAGGGUCUAAAAUACACGAGAGAGCUCACUCCUGGAACCUGAAGCCAGCCAACUCAGAGAGCCAGGAAAAUGUCUGCCAGACAGAUUAGAACAAUUGAGAAGAGACAAGGGAAGACUUUUAGGAAGAAAUUAUUUAAAGCAGUAAAGCUGCCCCGCUUACCUCACUGGAAGACAUGACACGAGAAAAUAUUGAGGCUCUCGUAACAAUGGACUAGUAUACUGACCUGGCUCUUCCUUUGUGGCCACCUGAUGGCUAUUAAGCAGAAUUUGACAUAAUUAAAUUUGCAAGUGGAAUUCUUUUUAGACACAAAA